GACGAACGCUGGCGGCGUGCUUAACACAUGCAAGUCGAACGAUGAAGCUGGAGCUUGCUCUGGUGGAUUAGUGGCGAACGGGUGAGUAACACGUGAGUAACCUGCCCUGGACUCUGGGAUAACCCCGAGAAAUCGGAGCUAAUACCGGAUAGGACCUCGGAUCGCAUGAUCUGGGGUGGAAAGUUUUUCGGUCUGGGAUGGACUCGCGGCCUAUCAGCUUGUUGGUGAGGUAAUGGCUCACCAAGGCGUCGACGGGUAGCCGGCCUGAGAGGGUGACGGGCCACACUGGGACUGAGACACGGCCCAGACUCCUACGGGAGGCAGCAGUGGGGAAGAUUACACAAUGGGCGCAAGCCUGAUGCAGCAACGCCGCGUGCGGGAUGACGGCCUUCGGGUGGUAAACCGCUUUUAGUAAGGAAGAAGCCGCAAGGUGACGGUACUUGCAGAAAAAGGACCGGCUAACUACGUGCCAGCAGCCGCCGUAACAC
rnacentral:rRNA from 1 species